ACGGAAGGCAGCAGUGGGGAAUAUUGCACAAUGGGCGAAAGCCUGAUGCAGCGACGCCGCGUGAGUGAAGAAGUAUCUCGGUAUGUAAAGCUCUAUCAGCAGGGAAGAAAAUGACGGUACCUGACUAAGAAGCCCCGGCUAACUACGUGCCAGCAGCCGCGGUAAUACGUAGGGGGCAAGCGUUAUCCGGAUUUACUGGGUGUAAAGGGAGCGUAGACGGUUUGGCAAGUCUGAAGUGAAAUGCGGGGGCUCAACUCCUGAACUGCUUUGGAAACUGUCGAACUAGAGUGCAGGAGAGGUAAGUGGAAUCCCUAGUGUAGCGGUGAAAUGCGUAGAUAUUAGGAGGAACACCAGUGGCGAAGGCGGCUUACUGGACUGUAACUGACGUUGAGGCUCGAAAGCGUGGGGAGCAAACAGGAUUAGAUACCCUGGUA
rnacentral:rRNA from 1 species